UUUUCUAUAAUCAGCACUGCUUCCUUUGUGAUACUUGUGCCUACUGAUUUCCUGACUCUGUCUGCCCUCUGGCCUGUUUUGGACUCUGGCCUCCUGGCAGCCUUGCUCCUGCUCUGACCAAUAGCUCAGACUGCCCAUGCCCCAGUUGUGACACUUCCCUGGGACAGUAACGGGUAGACUGCUCUGCUGCCUGUCACUGAACUUAGUGCAUGAAAGUUCAGUCUUUGAAAAGCCACAUAAGGACAGCAAAACCAAACAAAUCAGUCUCCUUCAAGAACAAUGGGCCAACAGAUUGAAUUCCUAUCUGCAGUGGACUGAGCUAACCCAACAGCAACCAGAGUUUCUAAAAUGUUCCAUUUGAAAGGCCUAGUAACAGCAGUCAUUGACAGCAGCAGAGAAUAAAUGCAACUAGUUGGCACAAACAACUGGAAUUUCUAGGUGAAGCCUUUUUUAUUAUUGCUAUAAUUAGCAAUGAACUGUAGAUGAUCAGAUUAUUCUAACUAUCUCGAUACUAGCCAUUUUUAUUACCAUAUGUAAGGUCUAAGUGAUUUAGCUACUAUGGUACAGUAUUUCUUCUCAACUGAUGCACUAAGGACUGUGUGUGUGAGAGAGAGAGUGUCACACACAGAAAAGUAUAAUGCAGAUGGAGGUGGAUUAUGUUAGCAGAAUGCAAAACUGCUCUUCUGUUUUAGGUUUUUAACAAUUCUAUUGA